rnacentral:rRNA from 1 species
CAAGACAACUUUACGGAGUUGACGAUUGACGGAGCGAAGCGACGUCAAAGCGUUCAUUAAAGUCGAGUUGGCUUAGGGAUACGUUCGUUGGGUAGGGGAGCGUUCUGUAAGCCUGUGAAGGUGUGUCGUGAGGCAUGCUGGAGGUAUCAGAAGUGCGAAUGCUGACAUAAGUAACGAUAAAGCGGGUGAAAAGCCCGCUCGCCGGAAGACCAAGGGUUCCUGUCCAACGUUAAUCGGGGCAGGGUGAGUCGACCCCUAAGGCGAGGCCGAAAGGCGUAGUCGAUGGGAAACGGGUUAAUAUUCCCGUACUUGGUGUUACUGCGAAGGGGGGACGGAGAAGGCUAUGUUGGCCGGGCGACGGUUGUCCCGGUUUAAGCGUGUAGGUGUGUGUUCCAGGUAAAUCCGGUUCACUUUAACACUGAGGCGUGACGACGAGGCACUACGGUGCUGAAGCAACAAAUGCCCUGCUUCCAGGAAAAGCCUCUAAGCAUCAGGUAACACGAAAUCGUACCCCAAACCGACACAGGUGGUCAGGUAGAGAAUACCAAGGCGCUUGAGAGAACUCGGGUGAAGGAACUAGGCAAAAUGGUGCCGUAACUUCGGGAGAAGGCACGCUGACACGUAGGUGAAGUGAUUUACUCAUGGAGCUGAAGUCAGUCGAAGAUACCAGCUGGCUGCAACUGUUUAUUAAAAACACAGCACUGUGCAAACACGAAAGUGGACGUAUACGGUGUGACGCCUGCCCGGUGCCGGAAGGUUAAUUGAUGGGGUCAGCGCAAGCGAAGCUCCUGAUCGAAGCCCCGGUAAACGGCGGCCGUAACUAUAACGGUCCUAAGGUAGCGAAAUUCCUUGUCGGGUAAGUUCCGACCUGCACGAAUGGCGUAAUGAUGGCCAGGCUGUCUCCACCCGAGACUCAGUGAAAUUGAACUCGCUGUGAAGAUGCAGUGUACCCGCGGCAAGACGGAAAGACCCCGUGAACCUUUACUAUAGCUUGACACUGAACAUUGAGCCUUGAUGUGUAGGAUAGGUGGGAGGCUUUGAAGUGUGGACGCCAGUCUGCAUGGAGCCGACCUUGAAAUACCACCCUUUAAUGUUUGAUGUUCUAACGUGGACCCGUAAUCCGGGUUGCGGACAGUGUCUGGUGGGUAGUUUGACUGGGGCGGUCUCCUCCUAAAGAGUAACGGAGGAGCACGAAGGUUGGCUAAUCCUGGUCGGACAUCAGGAGGUUAGUGCAAUGGCAUAAGCCAGCUUGACUGCGAGCGUGACGGCGCGAGCAGGUGCGAAAGCAGGUCAUAGUGAUCCGGUGGUUCUGAAUGGAAGGGCCAUCGCUCAACGGAUAAAAGGUACUCCGGGGAUAACAGGCUGAUACCGCCCAAGAGUUCAUAUCGACGGCGGUGUUUGGCACCUCGAUGUCGGCUCAUCACAUCCUGGGGCUGAAGUAGGUCCCAAGGGUAUGGCUGUUCGCCAUUUAAAGUGGUACGCGAGCUGGGUUUAGAACGUCGUGAGACAGUUCGGUCCCUAUCUGCCGUGGGCGCUGGAGAACUGAGGGGGGCUGCUCCUAGUACGAGAGGACCGGAGUGGACGCAUCACUGGUGUUCGGGUUGUCAUGCCAAUGGCACUGCCCGGUAGCUAAAUGCGGAAGAGAUAAGUGCUGAAAGCAUCUAAGCACGAAACUUGCCCCGAGAUGAGUUCUCCCUGAGACUUAGAGUCUCCUGAAGGAACGUUGAAGACGACGACGUUGAUAGGCCGGGUGUGUAAG